rnacentral:rRNA from 1 species
GAUGAACGCUGGCGGCGUGCCUAAUACAUGCAAGUCGAGCGAACGGACGAGAAGCUUGCUUCUCUGAUGUUAGCGGCGGACGGGUGAGUAACACGUGGAUAACCUACCUAUAAGACUGGGAUAACUUCGGGAAACCGGAGCUAAUACCGGCUAAUAUUUUGAACCGCAUGGUUCAAAAGUGAAAGACGGUCUUGCUGUCACUUAUAGAUGGAUCCGCGCUGCAUUAGCUAGUUGGUAAGGUAACGGCUUACCAAGGCAACGAUGCAUAGCCGACCUGAGAGGAUGAUCGGCCACACUGGAACUGAGACACGGUCCAGACUCCUACGGGAGGCAGCAGUAGGGAAUCUUCCACAAUGGGCGAAAGCCUGACGGAGCAACGCCGCGUGAGUGAUGAAGGUCUUCGGAUCGUAAAACUCUGUUAUUAGGGAAGAACAUAUGUGUAAGUAACUGUGCACAUCUUGACGGUACCUAAUCAGAAAGCCACGGCUAACUACGUG